rnacentral:rRNA from 1 species
AGUGAACGCUGGCGGUAGGCCUAACACAUGCAAGUCGAACGGCAGCACAGUAAGAGCUUGCUCUUACGGGUGGCGAGUGGCGGACGGGUGAGGAAUACAUCGGAAUCUACUUUUUCGUGGGGGAUAACGUAGGGAAACUUACGCUAAUACCGCAUACGACCUACGGGUGAAAGCAGGGGAUCUUCGGACCUUGCGCGAUUGAAUGAGCCGAUGUCGGAUUAGCUAGUUGGCGGGGUAAAGGCCCACCAAGGCGACGAUCCGUAGCUGGUCUGAGGGGAUGAUCAGCCACACUGGAACUGAGACACGGUCCAGACUCCUACGGGAGGCAGCAGUGGGGAAUAUUGGACAAUGGGCGCAAGCCUGAUCCAGCCAUACCGCGUGGGUGAAGAAGGUCUUCGGGUUGUAAAGCCCUUUUGUUGGGAAAGAAAAGCAGCAGGUUAAUACCCCGCUGUUCUGACGGUACCCAAAGAAUAAGCACCGGCUAACUUCGUG